rnacentral:rRNA from 1 species
CCUACGGGUGGCAGCAGUAGGGAAUCUUCCACAAUGGGCGCAAGCCUGAUGGAGCAACACCGCGUGAGUGAAGAAGGGUUUCGGUUCGUAAAGCUCUGUUGUUGGAGAAGAACGUGCGUGAGAGUAACUGUUCACGCAGUGACGGUAUCCAACCAGAAAGUCACGGCUAACUACGUGCCAGCAGCCGCGGUAAUACGUAGGUGGCAAGCAUUAUCCGGAUUUAUUGGGCGUAAAGCGAGCGCAGGCGGUUGCUUAGGUCUGAUGUGAAAGCCUUCGGCUUAACCGAAGAAGUGCAUCGGAAACCGGGCGACUUGAGUGCAGAAGAGGACAGUGGAACUCCAUGUGUAGCGGUGGAAUGCGUAGAUAUUAGGAGGAACACCGGUGGCGAAGGCGGCCUGCUGGACUGUGACUGACGUUGAGGCCCGAAGGCGUGGGGAGCAAACAGGAUUAGAUACCCGGGUAGUC